CUGUGAGUUCAAGGCUGAUCUACAUAAUGAGUUCAAGACCAGCACCUCAAGAAAUUCCCUAGUAAAUCAGACAGACUUGAAAAUGGUCCAUCCAGACAACUAGCCACGACACUCAGGCAACUGUGACAGCUCGACUUGGCUCGUUGAAACCCGAAUCCUUUGCAGGGUGAGAGAAUUGGGGCCUUCAAAACAAUUUAUCCUCUGAGAUGCAAUUGUCAAGCCACCAGCCUCUAAUUGGCAAUGUGUUAAUUUUCAAGAACUUGACUGUGUUUUAAAUCUUUAUAUUUGUGUGGGUUUCUGCCAGAAAAAAUUAGCCAAAACUAUGACGUUGGGUAGAAAUGUUAUAAAUAGUUAAAAACUUGGUAGAUGUUUAAUAAAAAGAAGAUGUGUAAGGUGUGUUUAUUUGAUUUGUUUUUUGCUAUUUUCCCCCCAAGGCAAUGUUUCUCUGUGUAGCCUGGCUAUCCUUAACUUGCUCUAUAGGUCAGUCUAGCCUCAAAAUCAGAGAUCCACUUGCCUCUGUAUUCUAAAUGCUGAGAAUAAGGCUUGUGCCAUCACACCUGGCUAUUUUUUCUUCUUCCUUCCUCCCUCCCUCCCUUCCUUCCUUCCUUCCUUCCUUCCUUCCUUCCUUCCUUCUUUCCUUCCUUCCUUCCAAGGUAUUGGCAAUGGUCUGCAUUUUUGGGGGUGGAUGGGUUUCAAGAAAGGUAAUAUACUGGUGUCUUAGAGAGGCAAUGUCUCUCCUUAUCGGGUAAUUUCACUUAUACUCUAUAUUAUGUGUGUAUUUUAAGAAGCAUUUACAGUAGUAGGUUUCUUCAUGAGUUUCUCAAAGGUCUUUAGUGUUAGUAAUCUCUCUAUAUUCUCCCUCUUCUGAUGUUUCAACAUACAUAAAACAAUAAAUGUAAUUAACCACAUAAAUGUACUCAAGGACAGAGAUCACAUGACCAUCUUAUCUGAUAUAGAGGUCUUUAGUGUUAUCUCUCUCUUCUGAUGUUUAACACACAUAAAUCAAUAAAUAUAAUCCAUUGUGUGAAUAUACUCAAGGAUAGAAACUGCAUAUCACCUCGUAUAGCAAAGAUCAUUGAUAAAUAUAACACUAUCUCAUAAUAAAAAUCGAGGAGAACCUUGGGAUACAGAAUACAUAUCUCAACAAAAUAAAGGCAAUAUACAGCAAGUUCACAGCCGGUGUCUUGCUGAAUGGAGGAAAAAUCUCAAAGAAUUUCCACUGUAAUCAAGACCAAGACAAGUACAGCCACUUACUCCAUUCCUGGUCUCUGUAGUGCUUGCAGAGGAGGGCUUUUCCCAAGGACAACCUUCCCUAAAUAGAGGGGGACUGGUUAUCAGUCAAGCGUAUAGUGAGUAGCUGCGCUCCCCUGUUAGAACCUCCAAACAAGCUCUC
rnacentral:sRNA from 1 species